rfam:Synechococcus cyanophage syn9, complete genome.
GACAGUUUCUUACUUUAGAAAAAGUAAGUGGUGCGGAUGGGGUUACCCCGCCUGGUUUCUACAUUCCAGUAAAGAUGUAGUGGUGGAGUCAACGA